UGACCCGCAGAGAGUUGCUGCCAUCAUGUUGUUCUGAAGGUACCUGGCAAACCCAAAGUCCGCUGUGGGAAGAGAAACAGAUUCCAGAAUAAUCAUCCAUAUGUAAGCUGUCCCAAACUGAACUGUCAUGUGCUUGCCGGUGAUGUGUAACCAUGGUGAUUAAGUGCCACAAAAGAUUGUGGUGCAGAAGAGCAUCAGACAUUGAUUUCCUGAGGAGGACAAUGCAACUCAAGACGCACGUCAGCAUUCAUCUGAAUGAACACGGGAAAUUGUGUCCUCCAAAUGACUUAAUACCAGACCAAAAUUAGCCUAAAAUCAGACGACGGUCGCCACAAGAUAAACAUGAAGAUAAUCAGCUGGCUUGUUCAGGACAGUGAACCCCCCCCCCCCGACGCCAGAGGACGGGGACUAAUUUUAGCUCCAAUGCUGACAUAGCACAGCAGCGAGCAAACAAAAGGGCAAAGGCCGCGGCUGGCUUACCUCCAUCACUAGGUACACUGAGCUUGCAGUUUCCUAAAGCAGGGGUGGGAGGAAAAGAAAAUAUGUCAAAACAGACCAAGACAGGAACAGGUAGUUCUUGAGCUGACGGAUUGUGUAACCGGCUUAAGACGUCAAAAAAAAAAAGUAUUUCAAGUUUUGGGCCAAAGGAAGGACAUACACAUAUAUUCUUUAUUUU